rnacentral:rRNA from 1 species
UACAGAGGGGGCAAGCGUUGUUCGGAAUUACUGGGCGUAAAGGGCGCGUAGGCGGCCUGCUAAGUCGAACGUGAAAUCCCCGGGCUCAACCCGGGAACUGCGUCCGAUACUGGCAGGCUUGAAUCCGGGAGAGGGAUGCGGAAUUCCAGGUGUAGCGGUGAAAUGCGUAGAUAUCUGGAGGAACACCGGUGGCGAAGGCGACAUCCUGGACCGGCAUUGACGCUGAGGCGCGAAAGCCAGGGGAGCAAACGGG